rnacentral:lncRNA from 1 species
GGAACUGGAUCCCAGGAUCCAGGGAUCACGCCCUGGGCCGAAGGCAGUGCUAAACCUAAACCACAGAGCUCCCCCGGGCUGCCCUAGUGCUUCGUUUCUUUCAUUUUUGUGUAUGUGUGUGUUGUUUUUUUUUAAAGAUUUUAUUUAUUUAUUUGAGGUUUUUUGUAUUAGUCUAUUUCCGAUUUUAUUUAUUUUUUCAUGAGAGACACAGAAAGAGAGAGAGGGGCAGAGAUACAGGCUCCAUGCAGGGAGCCUGACGUGGGGCUUGAUCCUGGGUCCCCAGAAUCACACCCUGGGCUGAAGGCGGCGCUAAACCGCUGAGCCACCCAGGCUGCCCCAGUGCUUCGUUUCUUUUUUUUUUUUUUUUUCAUUAGUGCUUCGUUUCUUAAAUAAAACAGGAAGACUGGCUCUUGGGGCCUCUACUAUCCCUGAAUUCUAAAAAUUAUUACCUCCUGUUUUUCUCGCUCCCUGCCAGCUAACGUGUUUUCCUGAGGACAAGCACCAGGCUGCCUUCCCUAUGAGUCACCUAACUCAGUGGGGUCAGUGCUCUGUACUCAUCUGGUACUCAGUUGGAGUGAAUAAUUGAUAAACAACGUUGUCUACUCUUCGUAAGUCUUAUAAACAAAAGUUAUUCACAUGCUCGGAAAGUAACUUAAGGCUUAGAUUCUGUGGUGGUAGACUUGGAUACUACAAAGUUUAAAAAUUCACUUCAUUGUUUAGUUAUGUUUAUUUAAAACAAAGUGACAAAGUGGAAGUCUCUAAAAAUUAGAUUUUCAUUCUUUAAAGGGCAUCUGGAUAUGGUCUCUAACUAUUGCUCACACACUGGUGACCUACUUCUGCUAUUGUAGAAAAGCACCGAGGAUUUGCUUUUAUUGUAUUUGAGUUGGCAGAUGUAAGAAAUUUUCCUUGUUUAGUAUUUGACUAGUGUUGCCUUUUUUUUUUUUUUUUUAAAGAUUUUAUUAGAGACCGAAAUAGCAAACAGAGAUAGUGAGAGAGUGCAUAACCAGGGAGGAGAGGCAGGGAGCCUGACUUGGGUGCUCAUUCCAAGGACCCCAGGAUCAUGAGCUGACGGCAGAUGCUUAACUGACUGAGCCACCCUUGACAAGUGUCAAGUGUCACUAUUGUCGUCGGGUACCAAAGGUGCUAUUCUCCAUUUGGAUAGAUGCAGUGGAUUCCUGGGGCUGCCCUAACAAAUCACCACAAACUCGGUGGCUUAGCACCACAGAAAUUCAUUCCCGUAGCUCUUCUAGCUCUGGAGGCUAGAAGUCCUAAAUCAAGAACAUGGCAGGUCCAUGCUCCCUCUGAAGGCCCUAGGGAAGAAUCCUUUCCUCCCAGCUCUUCCUGGCUCCUGGCAAUCCUUGGCAUUCUCUGGCCUGUAACUGCAUCAGCCCCCUCUUUGUCCUGUUUUCAUAUGGCCUUGUUCCCUGCAUGUGUCUCCUCUACUUUUAAGGAUUCCAGCUCCAUGCAGGGAGCCUGAUGUGGGACUUGAUCCUGGGACCCUGGGGUCACGCCCUGGGCUGAAGGAAGAUGCUCAACCACUGACCCAUCCAGGUGCCCCCAAGUCAGUGGCUUUAAAAAACACCACAAAUGCGUUAUCUUGCAGCUCUAGAGGUCAGAAGUCCAAAGUGGGUUCUCGCUGUGUGAGCAAGGCUCCAUUCCUCGUGGAGGCUCUAAGGGAGAGUCUGUUUGUGUUUUCCAACUCCUAGAGAUUGACCUCAUUCCUUGGCUUCCGAUCCCUUCUAUCUUCAAGCCAGCCAUGGCCAGGUGAGUCUUUCUCACACGGUAUCAUUCUGAACCCGACUCUCCUACCCUCUGCACAUUUAGAGGACCCUUGUGAUUACACUGGGCACAUCUGAAUAAUCCAGUACGACAUCUUUAUUUUAAGGUCAGCAGACCAGCGACCUUAAUUCCAUCUGCAACUUUCCUUCCUUCUUGCUGUGUAAUUCUUCAUAUUCAUAGGUUCUGGGGAAUGGGAUGUGAACAUCUUUGAGGGGACCAUCAUUUUGCCUGCAACAGAACUCUUAAAUUUGUUUCCACUCCGCGCCCCCCCCCCCCCCCCCCCCCCACUUUUCUUUUUAAAUCUUCGUGAUCAAUCUUUUUUUUUUUUUCCUUAUGAUCUUUAUGACUAAAUGUGAAAUAAGGAUAUUUCGUGCUAUGGUUCAAUUUUUUUUCUUAAUUGCUAGCAGUAAAAUUAGUAUUUUGGCCAUCUGUUUCUAAGAACAAGAGCAUAGCUAUAAUUAUAACCUAUAUCUUACUAAAUUAAGAAAUCGUCUUUCAUAUUUUUUUAGUUUUCAUGAAAAGGUCCCAAAGAAACCUUUUUAAAAAAAUCUACUUCCCUUUCGCUAGAUCAGUUAUUCUUGGAUAAUAAAAUAGUCCUUUAUUACUUUUUCAGCAAACAUGGUCCCACCAGCCAGCAAUACUCUCUCUCUCUCAUUUAGUGUUGGUCUUGAUUUUUUAAAGUGGACUCAAUACACGGUCACUGCAUUUAUACUUAUUAUUUCAGAGUUCUGAGCUCAGAUCCGAAGAUCAUGCCAGCACAGAAUUUCCUGUUGGUGUUGAAAGAAGUGUGCAGUGGCUCAGGGACAUUUGAUGAUUAGCUUUGUGCUUAGCUUGCUAUUGGGGGGUGUGGGCUCAGACUUAAUCAUGAGCAGGGCUCAGACUUCUUAGAAGUAAAAAUCUUUUUUUUAACCUAAAUGAGGUUUAAGCAGCUAAGUUGUAUUGCAGGAUGGCUCUGAACUCUUUGGGCGGACAGUUCGUGUCCGUUUAGCCAACCCAGUGAGAACUGAGGGAGGCUCAUCCAGACCAGGUGAGUGGGGGCACCGCAGAUGCCUCAUCACAUCCUCAACUUUGGCCUCUGUUGCUUUUUUAUCCCUGUCUCACUUCUGCAGUAGUGUUCACAGUUAGCUGUAGAGUGGGGAAGAGAGUGCAGCACCUCUGUGGAAAGAGAGUUUGAGAUUCUCCACAAAGCUAGAGCCACUGUCCCCAUAAAGUCUUGCUCUGGGCCGUAGACGCAGACUGGGCCUGUCCAGCCCCGACAGUGGCUGGGACUUCCCUUUUGGCUCGGCUUGGUCCUCCUCUGUUUUGCCAUCUGUGUCUGCCAAGAGCUGGACCUGAAGGCCUAACGUUUCCCAGUGGCAGCGUCCCUUGUCCUCAGAGACAACUUCUGCCUGUGAGAGCCCCAUGGGGCGUCCACGUGGCUGACAGCUGCAAAGAACUAAGUACAGUCAGGGGGCAGGUGGCCGGUAGCUUGAAUUUCUUAGCAUUUGUUCAAUUCUCUGCCUUUCAGUGUGGUCAGAUGAUUACUGGUGAAGAUUUCUGGGAAGACUCUUUGAAAAGAAUAAAGAGGAGGAAGGAAUGGAGCCUCCCAAAGUGGAAACCCAGGGGGUGAGAUCGAAGGCCUGCGCUUCCCCAGGAGGGGCUGGUACUUUCCCCACAGGGCACUUAGAUGUGGGUGGCGAUGGGUGAGGUGAACGGAGAAGCCUGCUUCUCUAUCCGUGUGGGGCUUGAGAUGAGAAGUAUCCUCCAGCAUGCUUGGGUCCCAACUUGAGAUUGCUCAAACUAGGUGGGGGUCUGAGAUGUGAAGGAACAGUGAGGACGCCCCCUCGCUGGCAUCCCGCAUCCUCCUGACCUUUCCUGCACUAUCACUGUGAAGACUUUGGUAUCAGGCUCACACUCUUCCUAUUCCUGGCCUGAUUCCGGGGAGCCCCAGCCCCUCAGAUGGACCCAGGUGCCAGCACUUUCUCCUGCUUCUCCAUACCCCACAGUCACGUUGCUUCUGGGGUUAGCCAAGCUGCUCGUCUGUCCACCUUUAGAGCAACAGUGUUUCUCUGAGUUCCUCCCUUAGCCCUUGGCUCGUCUCUGCACGCUGUCCUUGCAGUUUCGGCCACUUGGCCAGUGUCUGAGCUUAUCACAGCCACUCAGCCUUGUGCUGACUUCCGGAUCUCUAGGGGGCCAGCCUUGACCUCUCUCCUGAAUUUCAUGUGUUCCUGCCUGCAUGUCUUCCAGGCACCAUAAAUCAACAUAGCACGUCCCAAGUGGAUUUCCUCUCUCCUUCCGCUCUGGUCAUCCUGAGGACCCGAUCUUAAUGAACUUUGCCAUCUUCCACAGUCACCCAACCCAGGGACUUUCAUGACCUCUCCGGUCCUCAUCACAACCCACACCUACUGCAUUGCCAUAUCCUGCAGUGUUCUACUUUACAUCUGCCUGAAUCUCUGCUCUCCUGAUUGCUUCCGCCACAGUAGCCU